rnacentral:tRNA from 1 species
GGAUGUGGCCCAGUGGUAGAAUACUUGCCUGGAAUGCAUGAGGCCCUGGGUUCUAUCCCCAGCACCA